AUUGAACGCUGGCGGAAUGCUUUACACAUGCAAGUCGAACGGUAGAGGGGGCAACCCCUUGAGAGUGGCGAACGGGUGAGUAAUAUAUCGGAACGUGCCCAGUCGUGGGGAUAACGUAGCGAAAGUUACGCUAAUACCGCAUACGAUCUAAGGAUGAAAGCGGGGGAUCGCAAGACCUCGCGCGAUUGGAGCGGCCGAUAUCAGAUUAGGUAGUUGGUGAGGUAAAGGCUCACCAAGCCAACGAUCUGUAGCUGGUCUGAGAGGACGACCAGCCACACUGGAACUGAGACACGGUCCAGACUCCUACGGGAGGCAGCAGUGGGGAAUUUUGGACAAUGGACGCAAGCCUGAUCCAGCAAUGCCGCGUGAGUGAUGAAGGCCUGUGUAG
rnacentral:rRNA from 1 species